GGUCUCCUUCUAUGGUAGAGUGCAAGGAGAAACCCCUCUUGCAGCCAGUGGGAAGAGACAAAGAACAAAAACUGGAGGAAAGUCGUCAUGGCUGCCAGGAGCUGUUGGCUGUCAUGUUUUCCUGCCUCUUACAUUG
rfam:Callipepla squamata strain Texas jcf7180005229175, whole genome shotgun sequence.